AGAGUUUGAUCCUGGCUCAGGACGAACGCUGGCGGCGUGCUUAACACAUGCAAGUCGAGCGGUAAGGCCUCUUCGGGGGUACACGAGCGGCGAACGGGUGAGUAACACGUGGGUGACCUGCCCUCAGCUCUGGGAUAAGCCUGGGAAACUGGGUCUAAUACCGGAUAUGACCUUUCCUCGCAUGGGGUUUGGUGGAAAGUUUUUUCGGCUGGGGAUGGGCCCGCGGCCUAUCAGCUUGUUGGUGGGGUGAUGGCCUACCAAGGCGACGACGGGUAGCCGGCCUGAGAGGGCGACCGGCCACACUGGGACUGAGACACGGCCCAGACUCCUACGGGAGGCAGCAGUGGGGAAUAUUGCGCAAUGGGCGGAAGCCUGACGCAGCGACGCCGCGUGGGGGAUGACGGCCUUCGGGUUGUAAACCUCUUUCGGCCUUGACGAAGCCUUCGGGUGACGGUAGGGGUAGAAGAAGCACCGGCCAACUACGUGCCAGCAGCCGCGGUAAUACGUAGGGUGCGAGCGUUGUCCGGAAUUAUUGGGCGUAAAGAGCUCGUAGGCGGUCUGUCGCGUCGGUCGUGAAAACUUGGGGCUUAACCCUGAGCUUGCGGUCGAUACGGGCAUGACUGGAGUUCGGCAGGGGAGACUGGAAUUCCUGGUGUAGCGGUGAAAUGCGCAGAUAUCAGGAGGAACACCGGUGGCGAAGGCGGGUCUCUGGGCCGAUACUGACGCUGAGGAGCGAAAGCGUGGGGAGCGAACAGGAUUAGAUACCCUGGUAGUCC
rnacentral:rRNA from 1 species